rnacentral:rRNA from 1 species
UACGUAGGGUGCGAGCGUUGUCCGGAAUUAUUGGGCGUAAAGAGCUCGUAGGCGGACUGUUGCGUCCGCUGUGAAAAGCUGGGGCUUAACCCUGGCCUUGCAGUGGAUACGGGCAGACUAGAGGUAGGUAGGGGAGAAUGGAAUUCCCGGUGUAGCGGUGAAAUGCGCAGAUAUCGGGAGGAACACCGGUGGCGAAGGCGGUUCUCUGGGCCUUACCUGACGCUGAGGAGCGAAAGCGUGGGGAGCGAACAGG